GAUUCGUUGGUUCAGUGGUAGAAUUGCCGCCUGCCACGCGGUAGACCCGGGUUCGAUUCCCGGACGAAUCA
rfam:Monosiga brevicollis MX1 MONBRscaffold_52 genomic scaffold, whole genome shotgun sequence.